CGAGAACAUCCAGUAGAAUUGAUAGGGGCACAGACCCGAUAGAUCCACCUCCAACUCAAGGGCAACAAGCUCUGCUCAACCAGGCUAGACAGUUUGCAAGACAAGUGACUGAGGAGAGGAGAGCAACUUUACAAAGUCAAGAAUCAACAGGUGAAAUAUCAAGGA